AUGAAUGCUUUGCAUAUCAUUCUAUAUCAUCUUGAUAAGCUUCAUGCGCUUUGUCACGAACAAUCUUGCCGCACGGACUCAUACUUACUUCAUGGACACUUUGUGUGCGCUAACCAUUGUAUUUCCAAGUGUCCUUUGUGUUUGCUCAUUUUGCAUGUACCACAUACCGGAGACACCUUGGAGUACUUGGAUUGCGCAAUGUCUUCAUCUACGUCCAACUACAAGUCCGUCCACGACAAUCGUUUCCAUGGUGAUGAGGAUCAUGAUCAGAUGUCGGAUCUUUCCCAAGGGGGGGGGGGAGAUGAUGCGGAGCAUCCCACGAUCAUCCCCAUGUACACUUCGACUACUCCCCAAGCCCCAAGAGGACAUACGAUGAGACCUCGACCAUACGCCAUUGGACACAAGGUGAACUCACUCCUCUUCGAACCGUCACUUUCCACAUAUGAGACAUGGCUACUACCUCAAGCAUGGACCUUGCAUAUACCCAGGUACAUCCGAGAUGACCAUGGAGAAUCAAAGGACCAAGGCCAAGCAUGGAAUAAGAGAAGGAAGAAGAAUAAUGGAGCAAGACAGGACUUGCCCGGAUCAUCCGGACCCCUAGCCGGACGAUCCGGACACCCGCUCGGACGAUCCGGACCCCCGCUCGGACGAUCCGGGUAA
rnacentral:rRNA from 1 species